GGGCGUAUAGCUCAGCGGGAGAGCGCUUCCCUCACACGGAAGAAGUCCCUGGUUCGAUCCCAGGUACGCCCACUA
rnacentral:tRNA from 1 species